GGAGGGUCCAAGCUCUCUGCAAGCAUUGAACAAGCUGGUCACUUUGAAUCGAGUACCCGUUAUGACAAGUUAUAAGACUUUCUCAAGAGGUACGAUCAAGAGUAAUAUAUAACCAUCCAUUCAUCUCAAACAAUUUCCAUCCGCAAAUUCUGUAAGAUGUAAUUAUUAAUACAGAAAGAUGGAACUAUCUUCGCUAGUUUUUCACGGUAGGCGGAUUAUACUCAUAUGUGUAGAUAUACACACCCAUCUAUAACUAUAUAUCGCUACAUAUUUAUAUCUAAUUAUACUUACAUAUUAGUAUGUCUAUAUGUGCAUUUAUAUAUCUGCAAUCUAAUACAAUCCCGGAAAAAAAGAUAAACAAAAUUCGAUUCAUAAAAAGUAAAAUGAACGAAAGAUGAAUAUGGAAAAAGAUCGAUAGUGGAAAUCAAAAGGAUAAAAAGGAUUCAAAAGCAGAAAAGAAAGAUAAAAACAAAAAAAAUUUCCCGUAACUUUAGUAUCGAUCCAAAAUUAUUGAUAAUUUUGCGAUGGGAUUACCGGAGAAGACAUACUCGUCAAGAUAAGAAAAAUAGUGGCGAAACUAAACAGUGUGUGCUCGACUCAAUCUCAGUAAUUUAAAAGAAGAUUCAAGCUAUUUGAUGAGAGUUUGACAAACUUAUUUUGGAUCAAGACACCAACAUGACCAGUGCUAAAAAAUUCCAAAAGGAUAAGGACGAUCUAGGAAAGAGAAAAGCGUGCAAAUGGUACUACCUAAGAAAUGCCCGGAAUCGACGUUGAGAAUCGCUACUGAUAUCCUGCACUUCAUAUUCUUGAUGUAGUGAGAGAACUUCGAUGUCUACUCCUCGGAGGACCAAGGAGAAGUGAUCCGGUAACCGUCAAAGUCAACCAAAGGUUUGUUUUUGUUCUUAUUACAUGAAGACAACGAUUCAAAAUUCAAGAUUAAAGAAAAACUAUUUUAUGUUUAACGCGCAUUUCCCGUUUUCUAACGUUUAAGCGAACUUACUGUUGUUUAAAUAUUAGUUUAUCCAUUUCCGCGUAUUAUAUAUAAAACGAAAAUAUUUCCGAAAUUAUCAAUUCUCAAGUAUUCACGAUCAGAAAGAGAAAGUUUUGAUGUUUACUUGUCAGAGUACAAAGGAAAAUUGAUUAUGAACAUACAAAUAAAUUAUCUAUUUAUUAUUUCUAAUAUGGCAAAAGUGGAAAUACUAUAAAAGUUACUAUAAAAAUAAUAAUUAUAAAUUUAUCGAACGCCAAGUAAAAUGAUACAAAUUUUUCGUUCUUUCUCUGGAAAGAUGAUAAAUAGUGAAUGAAUGAUAGUUUUAUAUUUUUCCGCAUUAAUCGUUUGUACUCUGCACCCUCUUGGACAUUUCCAAAUUCGUCACGCAAACAUAGUAUAUACUAUACCAUAUUAUAUCGCAUAACUCUGGAACCAGCUUACAUAUUAUAAAGAUAUUUGAUUUAUAUGAAUUUUUUGACACUCGGGAUCAUAUUUUUUUACAAAAAAUGAGAAAUUUAUUCCUUAUAACUUUCUAUAAUAUGACAAAUUUGGAAGCAGUCCUUUUACACUAUCAUUUCCAUUGCCGUCAUUAUCAAAAAGAUAUCAUCAUCAUUCUGACAAUCCCUCUGAGGGAACAUUCAGGUACAAAGGAUCAAAAAGAAAUUUAAAAUAUAAAUUAAAAUCAAAAAAGAAAUUGAAAUAGAAAAAUAAUUAUAAAAAUCAAAAAGGAAAGUAGAAUUACAAAAUUAAAAAAAAAUAAAAUUAAAAAAAUCUUAUUUAAUUAAAAAUAAAAAAGUAAAUUUUUUUAAUUAAGAUCAGAAAAAAACAUUAGAAUGUUUUUUUUUUUAAUUUUAAUUUAAAAUAAUUAUUUUCUUCUUUUUAUUUAAAAUAAUUUUUUCUCUACUUCAAUUUUUUUCCUUCUUUUUACUUUUAAUUUCUUUUUAUUUUAAAUAAUUUUUUAAUUUUUGUUUUGACAAUAAAUUAAAAAAAAUUCCGUUAAAAUCAAAAAAUAUGUGUGAUGUAUUAUUAACUUAUCAUUAAUUUAAUUUCUUUUGAACGUUUAUAGAUUCAGAUAAAUAUAGGAAAAAUAUAGAUAUACAAAUGCAUAUAUAAAUAUAUAGAUAUGAGGUAUAAUUAUAUGUAAGUGUGUAGUGGUAUAUAGAUAUAUGUGUCUGUGUAUAUCUAUGCAUAUGUAUAUAAUCCAUAUACCGUCCGGAAAGAAAAAAAAAAAUUACAAUAUUCCAUGUCAUCAUCUCACGAAAGACUAGGGAAAAUAGUUCCAUCUUUCUCGAUUAAUAAUUAGAUCUUAUUGAUUACAAAAAAACAAUUGGCUCUCAAAAUUAAAUUAUAACUAAUACACUGAUAAAAGAAAAAUUCCAAUAUGACUUCUCUUACCGAAAACAAAUUGCUUCAAAUGAUACAGAUGAUUUAAAUAUUGCAAUCCGCAGAUGGAUUAUAUACAACUUCUGAUCGUACCUCUUUUAGAAUGUCUUGUAACUUGUCAUUGCGAGAACUCGAUUCAGACUGAUCAGCUUGUUCAAUAACAACUAUGUAAACCCAAUCAAUAAAUAAAAUAAAAUAAACUACAAAA